rnacentral:rRNA from 1 species
AAACUUUCAACAACGGAUCUCUUGGUUUUCGCAUCGAUGAAGAACGCAGCGAAAUGCGAUAAGUAAUGUGAAUUGCAGAAUUCAGUGAAUCAUCGAAUCUUUGAACGCACAUUGCGCCCCUUGGUAUUCCGAGGGGCAUGCCUGUUCGAGCGUCAUUA